GUGUGGCAAUGACUAGUUGGGGGGAGGGAGGGAGAGACGAGACCGAAGCUAGGUGAGGAGUUAAGUUUUCCAACUGGACUAUUCCUCAACUCAACACCAUGGACGCCCGUACUACUUUCUCUCUAGUCAAGGACCUCUCGAAUCCACGCAUUGUGCCUGGUGUUGUUGGGUGUGUUACGAGGAGCAGUAGCAGCAGCAGCAGCGGGGAGCUUAACCUACGUGCCAGAUUACGUGCGACGGAGUGACGUGCCGCUGCAGGCUUAGAGGCCAGCGGACCACAGUGGAGCACGGCGCUCAAAGGAGCACGGCACAGGUCAGGAGCACAGCGGAGAUGAGGAGUUGACGAACCAGAGGCUUGACUCCACAGCGAUAAUGAGCUUCCUCUGUCAAGAGAUGAUCUACCCCGCACGACGCUUUCACUGACGACGACCACUCCCAAAGCACCUCUACCACCACGACCACCACCAACACCGCCUCCGCAUAAAGAGACUGGCUUAGUGGGUGAUAUUGAAGCAGGUGUGGUGUAUGGAGACGGCCUGACGACAAGAACCAGCAGAUGACGGCGGACACGAAGAUUAAACUAACUAGAUAGGAAUUGCCGAUCCAAAGACUUAACUGCAGCGAUCCCCGAGCCUCCUGCACCAUCAGGAAGGGACUUCGUACAACACCUUCACUGACAACACCCACUCCCAACACACUACCGCCACUCGGGGAGGGACUCUGCCUCGCACGACGCCCUCACUGCCGCCUCCUUAACACCUGAUGCAUCACACCCCAACGGCCCAGCAAACGCCUGCCACCACCGCCACCCUUGCAUCGCGCACACCAUGCCCGACAAACACCUCCUGCUGCUGCAACAGCAGGAGGGACUCUGCGUGGCACCUUGACUCUGCCCGGCCAUCACCUACUUCCACUUCUGCUGUUGGUGGCCGGAAGGGAAUAGUUGUGGGUGGGCUUGGCAGUCUUCCCUCAUUGGUGCCAUACUCCUUGUCUUCACUGCCUCAUUGUGGUGUUACUGUAUUUGGAGCUGUUGUCACUAUUGAAUAAUAAUAAAUUGUGAAGAAAU